rnacentral:tRNA from 1 species
CAAUGGAUAGUUUAUUAAAAAUAUUAAUUUUGGAGAUUAAUGAUGAGAUUUUUCUUUCUAUUGA